CCAAAAAUGGUAAUCCCUUUAAAGACCUUAAAUUGUUGUGUAUCCUUUACGUAAUGUACUUUACCAUGGUUCUUUUAGGUAUACCAGAUAAAAACCUUUAUAAGGCAAGAAAUUGCGCAUAUGAUAACAUUUUACUUAUGACUAAUUAAGUGCCAGCAGUCGCGGUCAUACUUUUAUAGGUGUAAAGAUCUACAGAAAUAUUAAUUAUUAAUGAUAAUUAAUAGUGAAAUAUAAAUUAUUAGUAAACUGCCUUUUUAUUUAUUUAAAAAUUGACCACAAACAGGGAUUAGAUACCCCUUUAUGCAAUUCCCAUAUAAAUUUCUGAGCAUUAAAACCAACAGGUCCAAACUCAACCAACAUGGCGGUAGUUUAAAUAUUUAGGGGAACUUACGUAAUAAUUGAUAACCACCAAGAAAAUUUACAUAAAGUAAUAUUUUGUAUACCGUCGUCGUCAGAUAAACUAGAAUAUAUUAUCGUUAGCUUUAAUAAAAGACAGAUCAAGGUGCAGACAACCUUUAUGGUAACGCGAGUUACAAUAAAAACUUUUUCCAUUAUGUUCAUGAAAAAAACCUACAUGCUGGACUUAAAAGUAAUUUAUAUUAAGAAUAAUAAAUGAAUACUCUGUAAACUGUGC
rnacentral:rRNA from 1 species